CCAGAUGUGUAUAAGAGACAGGUGAGUCAUCGAAUCUUUGAACGCACAUUGCGCCCUCUGGUAUUCCGGGGGGCAUGCCUGUUCGAGCGUCAUUAUAACCACUCAAGCUCUCGCUUGGUAUUGGGGUUCGCGGUUUCGCGGCCCCUAAAAUCAGUGGCGGUGCCUGUCGGCUCUACGCGUAGUAAUACUCCUCGCGAUUGAGUCCGGUAGGUCUACUUGCCAGCAACCCCUAAUUUUUUAAGGUUGACCUCGGAUCAGGUAGGGAUACCCGCUGAACUUAAGCAUAUCAAUAAGCGGAGG
rnacentral:misc_RNA from 1 species